GAGGAAUAUUGGGCAAUGCCCGAAAGGGUGACCCAGCAACGCCGCGUGGAGGAUGAAGGUCGUAAGAUUGUAAACUCCUGUUAGAGGGGAAGAAUAACUAAGUUUGGAGCUUAGUAUGACUGUACCCUCAGAGAAAGCCCCGGCUAACUACGUGCCAGCAGCCGCGGUAAUACGUAGGGGGCAAGCGUUGUCCGGAUUUACUGGGUGUAAAGGGCGCGCAGGCGGAAUGGAAAGUCAGUGGAGAAAUCCUACAGCUUAACUGUAGAACUGCCUUUGAUACUUUCAUUCUUGAGUUCGGGAGAGAGAGACGGAAUUCCAGGUGUAGUGGUGAAAUACGUAGAUAUCUGGAAGAACACCAGUUGCGAAGGCGGCCUCUUGGUCCGAUACUGACGCUGAGGCGCGAAAGCGUGGGGAGCAAACA
rnacentral:rRNA from 1 species